UUCUGAGGAGAACAUGAGCAGUGAAGAUUCACCUUGGAGCUAGAACAGGGACGUGCACAUGAUUAUACAGGGGCAGGGGCUCAAGUUUUUUCCAGUCAUUUAUACAAUAUGGAAAUUAAUGUGAAAUUAAAAAACAAAGUAUUAAUAGAAAGGUUAUGACUGUCCUGUGUAGAUGACAGUGAUAUCAAAUAGGCUAGGCACUCACGAGGCUGGCUGUGGCAAGUGUAAGUGAAAGCAACACGCACUGGCAGGAAGAACAGCAAACGCCGAUGAAGGAAAGGGUCUUUGCAGUGAUGGGCGUUACCAGAGAGGACGAUGGCCAGAGGACGCGAAUGGGACGGGGAGGCAGCACGUUGGGGGGGGCAGCGCGACACGGCUCGGGCCCGCCAGUGCCCCAACGGGGCCCUAGUUAUUAUUUUUCCUCCGCUUUAAACUGGAAAAUGGCCCACUUCCCACUGGCGAAAACUCAGGAAAUUUGGCAGGACGACCGGGCCUGGUGAAAAAUUCGAUAUUCUGAAGUCGCCCAAACAAUAAAAUGCAAAAUGGCUCCAUAGCGCCCCCUAAGGUGAAAAUUCACACUAUUGACUGUCACGCCUGUACGCUUUGUCAUAUUGACACAAAAAUUGACACACACAUGUAUCUCAAUAAGAUCUACAAAAAAGUCAGUGCGGGCGUAUCUGUCAAAUGUACGGUUAAAGGGUUAUUUCGCAUUUUUUGCAGAUCCGCACACAUUGGAAUUUUGCUAACUCCUCCGAAGGCUUUCGUUCCACCGGCACCACAUUUGCUCAGGCCAAUCUACACCCCAUGGCCAUUCAAAGUUGUACAAAUCAUGAUGCUGCACCCCAUGGUUUAGGUUCUAGGGGGCGCCAAAGAUAACCCAAAAAUCCACAGUCUUAAAAGUCUUAUAACUUUUUAUUUUUGUCCUCACUGGCCUCCAAGUUCUCUAGGAUGAUGCAAUGUCCAGCAAUUAACACAUUUGUGAAGGAAUUUUUACUCGCCAAAAGAGCGCCCCCCCAUGGCAGGAGAAAAAAGUCCAUUUUUUCUUGUCCCCUAAGGUAAAAAAUUCACAUUGUUUAGUGUCACGCCUGUACGCUUUGGCAAAAUGACACAAAAAUUGACACACACAUGUAUCUCAAUAAGAUCUACGAAAAAGUCAAUGCGCGCGUAUCUGUAAAAUGUACGGUUAAAGGGCUAUUUCGCAUUUUUUGCCGAUUCGCACACAUUGGAAUGUGGCUAACUCCUCCUAAGGCUUUCGUUCCACUGACACCAAAUUUGCUCAGGCCAAUCUACACCCCAUGGCCAUUCAAAGUUGUAAAAAUCAUGACGCUGCACCCCACGGUUUACGUUCUAGGGGGCGCCAAAGAGGACCCAAAUAUCCACAUUUUUAAAAGUCUUAUAACUUUAUUUU